ensembl:lncRNA
AUGGCGUCCGGGGUUUUACCCACUCAUCUUCCCGUGGCUUCUGCACGUCCUGGAGGAGGGCGUCGCCGCCGCGCUGGUUUUGCCUUUUCAAGAGACGCUCAGCACAGCACCCUCGCGCUUCUCAGCCAACCGGCGGCCGAAGAAGUGGCUCACGCCCUCCGGCUCAACGCCGUCCUGGUUGAAACAGAAGCCGAGAGAGAGUGUCCAGAUCGUGGCCCUGCACAGAGGAUUUCUGAUCUUCGGGCUGCCCCCGUGUUUCCCGGCCAAAACGGAUGUGAGGACCCUGGCUUUCAGUAUCGGGCAAACACCGUGUUCUCUCACUUACCCAGGAUGCUUUCAUUACAGGGGCUUCCAAGUUCAGGUACAGAACAAUGUAAAAUGCAUAACUUCAGCUGCAGCCGUUAUUCCAGAGUUCUGAAGAGCAGCCAGCAGAAAUUGGUCAAGAGUCCAUUUGGCCCACACCCUCCACCCGUCUACCACAGAGGCGGACUGCUCAUAGAACACAUCACAGAAUGCUUUAAAUGUUCUGCCAGUUUUCAGCUCUCACAAAGCAAGAUCAUGAAGACACACAUGAGCAAAGACAUGUCAAAGUGCUUUGAAACAUACUUUCUCUACAGAAUCGAAUUGCAUUCCUGUUGUGAGAGGAAAUGGAAAACAUGA